rnacentral:rRNA from 1 species
GACGAACGCUGGCGGCGUGCUUAACACAUGCAAGUCGAACGGAAAGGCCCUGCUUUUGUGGGGUGCUCGAGUGGCGAACGGGUGAGUAACACGUGAGUAACCUGCCCUUGACUUUGGGAUAACUUCAGGAAACUGGGGCUAAUACCGGAUAGGAGCUCCUGCUGCAUGGUGGGGGUUGGAAAGUUUCGGCGGUUGGGGAUGGACGCGCGGCUGAUCAGCUUGUUGGUGGGGUAGUGGCUUACCAAGGCUUUGACGGGUAGCCGGCCUGAGAGGGUGACCGGCCACAUUGGGACUGAGAUACGGCCCAGACUCCUACGGGAGGCAGCAGUGGGGAAUAUUGCACAAUGGGCGGAAGCCUGAUGCAGCACCGCCGCGUGCGGGAUGACGGCCUUCGGGUUGUAAACCGCUUUCGCCUGUGACGAAGCGUGAGUGACGGUAAUGGGUAAAGAAGCACCGGCUAACUACGUG